rnacentral:lncRNA from 1 species
CAUCUUCCACUUUCCUGGGUUUUACAUGUGUUGAGAUCGAGUACAGACUACAGAGUACUUAUAGCAAACCCUCCAGUGAGUUGUUGGAGGGGAGUAGAGGACUCUCCUCCUAGCAUUUGUCCUUAUAACCUCUCAAGAUACCAAGCAUCUAAAAUGCAAUCAUUAACCAAUAGAAUUAUUUUAAAGGAAACAUUUGCACUAUAAUGGGGGCAAAGCUUCAUGAAAACAAGUAAUUUUUCAUGAACAUAAAUUGUACACCAACUCAUUUUAUAUUUUCAGUACCUGUUUUCUUGCUAAUUUCUUGUUAGGAGGCACGUGAAAAUGGUGGUGUCUGCAUUAAUAAAAAAAAAAAAGGUUUUUAUUCACCUAGUCAUUUUAAAUUCGAAGUAUAUGCAAAGCCAAUUAGUUAGGUGUAUAUGAAACUUCAAAGUUUGAUACCUCUUCCAUCACCCCUAAAGUAAGUUUUGCAGACAGCAGUCUAAUCUUUAUCGUUCCAUACAAGUUUAAGGGCAACAAAUUUACCAAAGAACACCACCAGUCAAAUACCACUAAACAGUUUCGAUUUUGCUAAUUGAUUUACAGGAAUGAUUCUUGCAUGCUGAGGCAAGUUCUGCAUCGUUGAAAUGGAGGGCUGAAGGGUGGAAGGUGGAAGACCAUUACCUACAUAUUGUUGGGAAAUUGAUCCCAUGCCUCACAAGUGCUAGAAAUUAGAUGGAAAGAAGAAAUAAACAAGCCAAGAAGAACACAAGAUUUAACGAGGUUCGGCCAAUAUCCUUGCCUACGUCCUCGGAGAGUAUCACCUUUACUAAUGAGAGAAUUACACAUGUACAAGAUUACACCACUCAAGUUUAUGCCCAACCUAAGCCCUUGUAUCCAAAAGGACACCCCUUGUACACCCUCUCUCAACCUAGAAGAUUACCCUACCCCAAGAGUUAUUCACACUCUUGAACACAACUCAACCUAUCUUCUAUACACGAAGACCCUUAGAGUUGCUCCCUUACUCUCCUUGCUUGCUUCAACACAAGCUUCACCUUUUUUAUAGCCUUUGAUAGAAGUCUCUAGAGUUACUCUAUCAAUGCUCAUUCAUGACCAUGAUCAAACCUUCCAUCUUCCCCAUUAUCUCCAUGUAACUCCCUAGGAAGACUAAGAGUUAUAUCAUGAAUUUAAUCUCAUACAUUUAUUCUCACUUAACUAUGCAUCAAUUCCAUGAAUAACUUAUCACCAUGAAUGCACAAACCAAUAACUCUAUGUAUUCAUGUCAUGCAUAACUUAUCACCAUGAAUGCACAAACCAAUAACUCUAUGCAUUCAUGCCAUGCAUAAUAUCUCCACCAAGGAGGGAUAAACACCAAACCCAACAAUGACAUAAUCUUCUUGGUUGAGAGAGGGUAUACAAGGGGUGUCCUUUUGGAUAUAAGGGCUUGGGUUGGGCAUAAACUUGAGUGGUGUAAUCUUGUACAUGUGUAAUUCUCUCAUUAGUGAAGGUGAUACUCUUUGAGGACGUGGGCAAGGAUAUUGGCCGAACCUCGUUAAAUCUUGUGUUCUUCAUGACUUGUUUAUUUCUUCUUUCCAUCUAAUUUCUAGCACUUGUGUGGCGUGGGAUCAAUUUCCCAACAGUGGUAUCAGAGCCUCGGCUCUUCGGUCGUGGGCUGUUUGUUAUGGCAAGUUCUAGUCUACGCAUCUCACAUUUCAAGGUGGAGCAGUUCGAUGGAAAAAAAAUUUCACUCUAUGGCAAACGAGGGUGAAGGACAUCCUAGUUCAAUAAGGUCUUGCAAAACCGUUGAAGGGAAAGGAUGCAAAGCCGAAGAAGAUAUCAUAUGAAGAUUGGGAGGAGUUGGAGGCCAGAUGUGUUAGCACUAUUAGGCUUUAUAUUGCUAACAAUAUUAUUAAUAAGGGUAAAAUCAAGGUUCUAAAAAACGCUAGGCGCUAGUCGGGCGGACAGCCAACGCCUAGCGCCCAGAGGAUUAAUCGGGCCGCCUAGGCGGUUUUUUAUUUUCUAUAACUUUUAUUUAUUUAAUUCAAAUAAUUAUAUAAAUAAAAUUUAUAAAAUCAUUAUUAUGUUCUAAAAUAGCAAAAUACUUCAAAAAUAGACAAAAUGUUCAACAACAAGGUUCUUAGAAAUUAUAAAAAAAACAAUUUGAAAGAAACAAAUUAGAUUCUUACUAGCCUAUGCCUCAAAUUCUUCUUCUCCAUAUCCCUCUUGCACUUCUUCUGUGUCGGUCUCAAACUCAAAGUCUAUUUCAUCUUCUUCCUNNNNNNNNNNNNNNNNNNNNANAAAAAAAGCAUAAUUGGGCUGCCCAGCCCGCCCAGGUGCCGCCUAGCUCGCCUAGGCGGCCGUUUUUUUGAGCUGGCGCCCAGCUUCGACGAUUUGUGCAAAAUCGGAACGGUCCCCUGCCGCCCAGCGCCUAGGCGCCGCCUAGGCGGCCCUGGGCGGCGUUUUUUAGAACUAUGGGUAAAAUACUGUAUAGUUCUUAUGGUUUGAAGUCGACAUCUGUUUAGUCCUUAUGGUUUUAUUUUAAUCUGAAUAGUCCUUAAAGUCACGAUUUUUCAUGAAUUGAAAUUUGUUUAGUCCUUGUGGUUUGAAGUUGACAUCUGUUUAGUCCUUCUGGUUUUAUUUUAAUCGGAAUAGUCCUUAAAGUCACAAUUUUUCAUCAAAAUAGUCCUUAUGGUUUAUUUUAAUAUGAAUAGUCAUUAAAGUCAUGAUUUUUCAUCUAAAUAGUCAUUCCGAUAAUUUUCUAAGUUAAAGGCCAUAAGGACUAUUUGGAUGAAAAAUCAUGACUUUAAGGACUAUUCAGAUUAAAAUAAAACCAUAAGGAAUAUUUGGAUGAAAAAUUGUGACUUUAAGGAUUAUUCAGAUUAAAAUAAAACCAUAAGGACUAUACAGAUGUUGACUUUAAACCACAAAGACUAUAAUAUUUUACCCAUUUUUCAUCCAAAUAAUCCUUCCAACCAUUUUCUUAGUUAAAGGCUACGUCAGCAAUUUAAUUGAGAAAAUUGACGGAGGGACUAUUUGGAUAAAAAAUCGUGACUUUAAAGACUAUUCAAAUUAAAAUAAAACUAGAAGGACUAAACAAAUGUCGACUUCAAACCACAAAGACUAAACAAAUUUCAAUUCUAUUAAUAAUGUUAAUGAUGUAGAUUCGGCAUCGGAGCUUUGGGAAAAAUUGGAGAAGCUUUAUCUUGGGAAAGGCUUGCAGACGAAGUUGAAUCUAAAGUGAGAUCUCUACAAGCUCAAGAUGGGAGAAGGUGCGAGUCUCAUGGAGCACAUGAGCGUGUUCAGCGGAUUGAUUAAUCAACUAGCAAAAGUUGAUGUAAAGAUUGAGGAAAAAGAUCAAGCCCUUCUACUUCUUACCUCGCUUCCCGAUUCGUAUGAGAAUAUCAUCACUACAAUCUUGUAUGGUAAGGACACAUUGAAGAUGGAGGAGGUGGAAUCAACUCUCUUGUCUCACGAGAAGCGGAGGAAAGCCGAUGAUUCCCAGAGUUCCGUCUUUGUUGCUCAUGAUCAGAAUCAAAGGGGAAAGUCAACUGCCAAAGGAUAUAAAGAACAUAGCGGGUCUAAAUCCAGGGGCAAAGGAAAGGGCAAGCAAUGCUACAAGUGCAAGGAGUGGGGGCACAUAAGGCCAGAUUGUCUGUUGUUGAAAGAGAAGGAUGAUAAGGGCUCAGAUUGCUUCAUGACUGGUAUAGCACAGACUUCUUAUGAUUUUGGAGAAUUUCUCACGGUCUCCAAAGGUAAAUACACUUGUUCUCAACGUGAUCGGAUAUUGGAUACUGGUUCCUCUAAUCAUUUUUGCUCCAAAAGAGAAUAUUUUGAUAUGUUCCAAGAAGUCCAGGGAUUUGUGACUUGGGGUGAUGGAACAAGGCGUCGUGUCAUGGGUGUUGGAACGUUGAAGGUCAAAAUGUUUGAUGGGGUAGUUCGCUCUUUGGGUGAUGUGGUGUAUGUCCCAAAGUUUAUGAGAAAUUUAAUAUCACUGAGCCAGUUAAACUCUAAAGGUUGCAGGGUUUCUUCAGCAGGGGGAGUUAUGAAAGUAUACGUGGCUGCAUGGUCCUGAUGAAAGGAGAAAAGUGUGGAAGUAUGUUCCGUCUGAUAGGAAAAACUCAGACCUCAAAGGUUAUUGGGAAACAGUGUGCACAAGAAUCCAGGUACCUGAGGCAGGUCUCAUUUGCGGGUGUAGCAGAGACGGCAGACACAAGUUUCCAAGUUUUAGAUGAUGGUGAGAAGGUAAAUCUUGCUAGGAAAGAGGUGAAGACGAGGUCGAUCCCUCUUCAGAGUCAACAAGUGAUCGUUGUCUCGGUGCAGUUACACAUGGUUUUAGCUAAUUAAAUCAGGGAGAGUAUGGACCAUAUGCAAUUAACUCUGAUUGAUUAUGUGUAACUGACGCAAAUACAAGGCUAAUGGAAUGCUUAUGGGUAUAACAAGUUGUGUCUCGAUUCGAGAUGACUUCAAGCGUUGAAGUGGUGAUGCGGAGCUCUCCACCAAUGUCGGGAGGGGGAGGAUUGUUGGUUUGGGGUUUGGGUUGUUUUAGUCCCUUCCAUGAUGGAGAUAUUAUGCAUGGNNNNNNNNNNNNNNNNNNNNNNNNNNNNNNNNNNNNNNNNNNNNNNNNNNNNNNNNNNNNNNNNNNNNNNNNNNNNNNNNNNNNNNNNNNNNNNNNNNNNNNNNNNNNNNNNNNNNNNNNNNNNNNNNNNNNNNNNNNNNNNNNNNNNNNNNNNNNNNNNNNNNNNNNNNNNNNNNNNNNNNNNNNNNNNNNNNNNNNNNNNNNGCAACUCUAAGGGUCUUCGUGUAUAGAAGAUAGGUUGAGUUGUGUUCAAGAGUGCGAAUAACUCUUGGGGUAGGGUAAUCUUCUAGGUUGAGAGAGGGUGUACAAGGGGUGUCCUUUUGGAUACAAGGGCUUAGGUUGGGCAUAAACUUGAGUGGUGUAAUCUUGUACAUGUGUAAUUCUCUCAUUAGUAAAGGUGAUACUCUCCGAGGACGUAGGCAAGGAUAUUGGCCGAACCUCGUUAAAUCUUGUGUUCUUCUUGGCUUGUUUAUUUCUUCUUUCCAUCUAAUUUCUAGCACUUGUGAGGCAUGGGAUCAAUUUCCCAACACAUAUUUCCUUUCCCCUACGCAUGUUUAAUAAAACAUAUAUUCAGUCAGUCUUUGAUAUAAGAAAAACACUGAGGGGGUCUCAUUUGGUCCUCUAAGGCCAGCAGCGGCACUGAUUUAACGAGAAUAAACAAGAACUCAGCGUACGUACACCUGCAUCUGCUAUUGGAAAAUGACAAUGUGACUAAUUAUAUGAACAACUGAGGUUGCCUUACUGGAAUUACCUUUUAAAUUUCUGUAUGAUGGAAAUAGAAAAUGGAAUGUAGCAACAGAAAGCCAACCAUGCAUACUAGUAGUUGUUUGUUUAAUGGUGGUUACAUUGCUAUAAAACUAUAAUCAUACUGAAAGAAUUAACUGAAUCUCAGAUGUUUAAGAAUCUUGUUUGACAAGUUCUUGUCAAAAAUAUUAUUACAAAACUGCAGGUUUCAAGUCAAAUGUGUUUUUCCCUCAUUUCCCUUUCAAUGUUUCAAGUGAUCUAUGUAUCAUCUCUCUAUCUCUUGCCUGCAUUGCUUAUCUUCGACUAUGCUUGGUACUUGAGAUUUAGCUUUAACAAAACAAGGGGGGACUGUACUUGA